CCUACGGGUGGCAGCAGUGGGGAAUAUUGGGCAAUGGGCGCAAGCCUGACCCAGCAACGCCGCGUGAAGGAAGAAGGCUUUCGGUUUGUAAACUUCUUUUCUCAGGGACGAAGCAAGUGACGGUACCUAAGGAAUAAGCCACGGCUAACUACGUGCCAGCAGCCGCGGUAAUACGUAGGUGGCAAGCGUUAUCGGGAUUUACUGGGUGUAAAGGGCGUGUAGGCGGGAAAGCAAGUCAGAUGUGAAAACCAUGGGCUCAACCUGUGGCCUGCAUUUGAAACUGUUUUUCUUGAGUACUGGAGAGGCAGACGGAAUUCCUAGUGUAGCGGUGAAAUGCGUAGAUAUUAGGAGGAACACCAGUGGCGAAGGCGGUCUGCUGGACAGCAACUGACGCUGAGGCGCGAAAGCGUGGGGAGCAAACAGGAUUAGAUACCCUUGUAGUC
rnacentral:rRNA from 1 species